AUACGGAGGGGGUUAGCGUUGUUCGGAAUUACUGGGCGUAAAGCGCACGUAGGCGGGUUGGAAAGUUGGGGGUGAAAUCCCAGGGCUCAACCCUGGAACUGCCUCCAAAACUAACAGUCUAGAGUUCGAGAGAGGUGAGUGGAAUUCCAAGUGUAGAGGUGAAAUUCGUAGAUAUUUGGAGGAACACCAGUGGCGAAGGCGGCUCACUGGCUCGAUACUGACGCUGAGGUGCGAAAGCGUGGGGAGCAAACAGGAUUAGAAACCCUAGUAGUCC
rnacentral:rRNA from 1 species